UUAAGCAUAUCAAUAAGCGGAGGAAAAAAAACUAACAAGGAUUCCCUUAGUAACUGCAAGUGAAGUGGGAAAAGCUCAAAUUUGUAAUCUGGCAGCCAUCUGGUUGUCCAAGUUGUAAUCUAAAGAAGCGCUACCUGUCUUGGAC
rnacentral:rRNA from 1 species